GACGAACGCUGGCGGCGUGCUUAACACAUGCAAGUCGAACGAUGAAGAAGAGAAACUCGAACUUCGGUUCAAAUCUCACUUCGGAUUAGCGGCAGACGGGCGAGUAACGCGUGAGCAACCUACCUCUUACAAAGGGAUAGCCUCGGGAAACCGUGAUUAAUACCAUUUGACACAUUCAUAAGGCAUCUUAAGAAUGUUAAAGCUACGGCGGUAAGGGAUGGGCUCGCGUCCCAUUAGCUAGUGGGUGAGGUAACGGCCCACCAAGGCGACGGUGGGUAACCGGGCGGAGAGGCGGACCCGUCACAUUGGAACUGAGGCACGGUCCAAACUCCGACGGGAGGCAGCAGUGGGGAAUAUUGCACAAUGGAGGGAACUCUGAUGCAGCGGCGCCGCGUGAGCGGUGAAGGAAUUCGUUACGUAAAGCUCUGUUCUAUGAGAAGAGAAGGACUGUACCAUAUGAGGAAGCCCCGGCUAAAUACGUG
rnacentral:rRNA from 1 species